rnacentral:rRNA from 1 species
AGGUAGGUGCGGGCUGCUUGCAAUGCAAGUCGAACGGCAGCGGGUCCUUCGGGACGCCGGCGAGUGGCGAACGGGUGAGUAAUGCAUCGGAACGUACCCAGUAGUGGGGGAUAACUUACCGAAAGGUAAGCUAAUACCGCAUACGCACUGAGGUGGAAGGCAGGGGACCGCAAGGCCUUGCGCUAUUGGAGCGGCCGAUGUCGGAUUAGCUAGUUGGUGGGGUAAAGGCCUACCAAGGCGACGAUCCGUAGCGGGUCUGAGAGGAUGAUCCGCCACACUGGAACUGAGACACGGUCCAGACUCCUACGGGAGGCAGCAGUGGGGAAUUUUGGACAAUGGGCGCAAGCCUGAUCCAGCCAUGCCGCGUGAGUGAAGAAGGCCUUCGGGUUGUAAAGCUCUUUCGGCCGGGAAGAAAUCGUGGUGGCUAAUACCUGCCAUGGAUGACGGUACCGGACUAAGAAGCACCGGCUAACUACGUGCCAGCAGCCGCGGUAAUACGUAGGGUGCGAGCGUUAAUCGGAAUUACUGGGCGUAAAGCGUGCGCAGGCGGUUGUGUAAGACAGGCGUGAAAUCCCCGGGCUCAACCUGGGAACUGCGCUUGUGACUGCACGGCUAGAGUACGGCAGAGGGGGGUGGAAUUCCACGUGUAGCAGUGAAAUGCGUAGAGAUGUGGAGGAACACCGAUGGCGAAGGCAGCCCCCUGGGUCGAUACUGACGCUCAUGCACGAAAGCGUGGGGAGCAAACAGGAUUAGAUACCCUGAUAGUCCACGCCCUAAACGAUGUCGACUAGUUGUUGGAGGGGUAAAACCCUUUAGUAACGUAGCUAACGCGUGAAGUCGACCGCCUGGGGAGUACGGCCGCAAGGUUAAAACUCAAAGGAAUUGACGGGACCCGCACAGCGGUGGAUGAUGUGGAUUAUUCGAUGCACGCGAAAACUUACCUACCUUGACAUGCCAGACUUGCCAGAGAUGGCUUGUGCCCGCAAGGAACCUGGACCACAGU